AUGGCCAGGCCGACUCAUACGGGCAGAUCUGGCCCCACUCUGCUAAAGCAUUUUGAGCCCAUGAGCAGUCAAGCCCAUUCGUUUCCGUCCCAAACCCCCGUGGGCCCCGACCGUUCUACUCGCGGGGCGGCGCAUGGCGAGGCAGCGACCGCCGGCGAGAGAGAAGAGGGAUCCCAACGUCGCUCGGUCGGGAGGCGAGGCGCCUCCUACGCCGCGCGCUCGCCGGUGGCGCCGCUGCCCUCGACCCUGGACUUCCCUCCCCCAGUAUGCGCACCAUUCCGAAGCGUCUGCCGGUGCCCUAUUGUUAGCUUAAUCUGUUUGGUUUGGUUAUUAUUAAAGUAUCUGUGCCGCGCCUACUUCGAUUGUUGCUUAGCGUAUCUGAUACCAAUAGAUCCAUAUGUAGGUUUGGUGCCUAAAAAGAGCAGACGUGGUGAUGCAAUUGGGGCUAGGUUAUCUUCUACAUCGGUGCAAUUAGUGCUCAUGCAUAUACAUCAUGUAGGAUUGCGUGCUUGCAACAUUGCCAGCCAUGAGCCAGGUCGGGUCACAUCAAAGGUUUUAGUUCUUGAUCAGGAUCCGGUUUCCCUGUGGACUAUCUGCAAUACGCUUGCUAGAUUCAACUUCAAAGUUCUUCCCUUCCAAACAGGGGAAGAGGCCCUAGAUUCCCUUAAAAGGGGGGUUGCUAAAGAUGAGGAGCUUGAUUUGAUAGUAGCGGAAGUUCAUCCUGGCAAUACAGAGGUGGGCACCUUGCGUCUGUUUCACCACAUCCUGAAUGAACUUGAAGUGCCUCUCAUCACUAUGUGUGCCUAUGAUGAGGCAGUCUCUGCACGCAUGACCCUUGGAACAUGCUUCAAUGUGGUUAAGCCGUUGGAUACUGAAACCGUAAAUUUUCUGAGGAUGAGAGCACUGCAACACAGGUCUAUUAAAAAUCACAGGUCUGAAACUGAGGAUGAAGAACAAGAUGCGUUGAAUGUGAAUGUCUAUUCAGAUAAUCUGGGUCGGUUCAUAUGGAGCAGUGAGCUCCAUGAAAAGUUUUUGCAGGCUGUUGAAGUGCUUGGGGCGUCUGGUACGGCAAGAAAAAUUCACCAGUACAUGAAUGCCAAGGAUUUGAAUUUGACCAUACAGCACAUCGCAAGCCAUCUCCAGGUGGGUGAUCGAUUUAGUUUAUCUGCAACUGCGAAACACCGGCUGCGGGCGCAGAAGUUAUCUCACAAUGAAGAGGUUUAUCAACAUUAUGCCAGCAUGAAAGAAUUAUCUGAGAUGAUUGCAUCAGCAUACAAGGUAGCCAGUGCUAAACCCAAUAAUCAUCCGGCAACAACCCAGACGCAGUUCACACAUGGGGUUGCCUCUGCUAUCUGGGACAAGUACCCCGGGAUGGUGUGGCCACAUGUGGAGGGAAGCCCACCUCCAGUUCUGAUACAUGGUACCAAGUCCAUCUGGGACCGUUACGAGGAGAGCCUACAGUACUAUAAUGCGAGAAUGUCAUACAAACGCGGGGUGCUACCUAUAAGGAGCAAGGCACUUGAUGGAUAUGGACGCAACAUUUCCGUCAACCUGGAGAGAGAGAUCAGUCGUACUGAAUCAGCAGGCAAGAUUGUCAUCAACCUGGAGAGCGAUGACAUGCAGAAAGACACCACGGACGACGUGCACGCCACAGUUACUCCGCAGGAAGACAUAAUGGACGAGGUGCAUGGCGCAGUUACUCUGCAGAAAGACACCAUGAACGAGGUGUACGCCACAGUUACUCUGCAGAAAGACACCAUGGACGGAGCGCACGCCGCAGUUACUCCACAUGGAGUGAAUGAGGUGCCUGCUGCAAACAUGGGCGCUGAGGUGGAGAAAUUCUGGACGAACCAGAUGGAAGGACAGCAGGAGCAGCAAGGCCUUGAACUAGUGGAUCUGCUCCAGGUAGAUGGCAUUUCACCAGAGGAACUGCUCCAGGAAGACGAAGCCUGGAACCAUGCACUUCAGCCAGCAAACCCGGCGAAUGUCGUCAACAACGCACCCAUGGCUGAAGAACCGGCAGCUGGAGGCGCCCCGGUGUACAAUCCUGCGAACCAGUCCGGUGUCGCCGAAAAUGUGUUCUGA
rnacentral:rRNA from 1 species